UGAGAAGGACCUUUUUAAUUUCGGUAGGGGCAGUGGCAGGACCCUUGCCGAAAUCCAAAAAGACUCUCUUGACAAUCUACCUGUGAAAAUUAUUCCAGCUGAAGUAAAUGUAGAGAAACCAGGACCAUCAAAGACCAGGAAAAUCCCAACAUUACAUGAAAGAUCAACCAUUGGAAGAGGAAGGGGGAGAGGAGGAACCAGAGGAAAAGGAAGAGGUCGUGGUAGAAAGAGAAAGAGGGAGAGCAGUUCUGACUCAAAUGAUGACGAAGAUAGAAUAAGAAUUGAAGAAAGCAGUAGUGAUGAAGAUGAGACCAGAC